rnacentral:lncRNA from 10 species
GUUGCAGUAAGCCAAGAUCACGCCAUUGCACUCCAGCCUAGGUGACAUAGCGAGACUCCGUCUCAAAAAAAAAAAAGAGAUUACUUAAUAUAUUUCAUUUUUCUCUUAUCAGGAAAAAAACAUAUAUUUUGGAGGGAGGGAGCUUUAGGAACAUGCAGCAAAGUAACAAGCAGAAAAUCAGCCAUUUCUUUUUUCCUUUGUACAUUUUUUAUUUAUGCUUCAUUCAAACGAAGGAAUAUAUGUCAACAUGUGUAAGUUUUAGACCAUAAUGAUGCCAUGAACACCCACGAACUCACCUCCCAAAUGCCAAUCCGGAACGUUACCAAUAACCAGAGCUUCUCCCCUAUGCCAUCAUGCCCUGCCCACCCCAGAGUAACUCUACCAUCUUGAAAUUUUAACAUAUUGUCUCCCUCCCUUUUGAAAAAAAAAAUACAUAUAUAGACACGCUUAAACAAUGAGUUUAGUAGUUUUUGAGCUUUAUAAAAAUGGUAUCAUACCAUAGGUAGUAUUCUAGGACUUGAUGUAAUCACCAUUAUCUUUUUCACUACUAUAUAAUAUUCUAGGGUGAAUAUACCACAAUGUUCUUACCAAUUUUCUUCUUGCUGAGCAUUUACAUGGUUUCUAGUUUUUUUAUUACUAAAAAAAUGCUGUUAUAAAUGUUCUUGUGCCUGUGUUCUCAUGCAUAUAUGCAGGAUUGCCUCUUGGAUACACACCAAGGAGGGGAAAUGCCUAGGCUGUUCAACUUUACAGGAUGAACAAUUGUUUUCCAAAGCGUUUCCACCAAUCAUACUCCCACCAUGGAUCCACAUCCACUCCAAUUUGAAGCUGAAAAUCUUUUAUCUGUUUAUUGGACAACCAUGAUACUUCUCUGAAACUGACUGGAUGAAGCCCACCCAUGUUACAGAAGUCCAGUUUGCUUUACUCAGUCCACUGAUUUCAAUGUUUGUCUCAUCCAAAAACACCCUCACACAAAUAUCUAGAAUAAUGUGUGUGUGGUUUUGUUGUUGUCAUUGUGCACGCGCGUGUGUGUGUGCAUGUGUGUGUGUGUG